rnacentral:rRNA from 1 species
AUUGAACGCUGGCGGCAUGCUUUACACAUGCAAGUCGAACGGUAACAGGCCGCUAGGUGCUGACGAGUGGCGAACGGGUGAGUAAUGCAUCGGAACGUGCCCAGUCGUGGGGGAUAACUACUCUAAAGAGUAGCUAAUACCGCAUACGAUCUAUGGAUGAAAUCGGGGGACCGUAAGGCCUCGCGCGAUUGGAUCGGCCGAUGUCAGAUUAGGUAGUUGGUGGGGUAAAGGCUCACCAAGCCAACGAUCUGUAGCUGGUCUGAGAGGACGACCAGCCACACUGGGACUGAGACACGGCCAAGACCCCUAAGGGAGGCAGCAGUGGGGAAUGUUGGACAAUGGGCGCAAGCCUGAUCCAGCAAUGCCGCGUGCAGGAAGAAGGCCUUCGGGUUGUAAACUGCUUUUGUACGGAACGAAACGGCUCUGGUUAAUACCCGGGGCUAAUGACGGUACCGGAAGAAUAAGCACCGGCUAACUACGUG